rnacentral:rRNA from 1 species
UGAACGCUGGCGGCAGGCCUAACACAUGCACGUCGAACGGUAACAGGAAGCAGCUUGCUGCUUUGCUGACGAGUGGCGGACGGGUGAGUAAUGUCUGGGAAACUGCCUGAUGGAGGGGGAUAACUACUGGAAACGGUAGCUAAUACCGCAUAACGUCGCAAGACCAAAGAGGGGGACCUUCGGGCCUCUUGCCAUCGGAUGUGCCCAGAUGGGAUUAGCUAGUAGGUGGGGUAACGGCUCACCUAGGCGACGAUCCCUAGCUGGUCUGAGAGGAUGACCAGCCACACUGGAACUGAGACACGGUCCAGACUCCUACGGGAGGCAGCAGUGGGGAAUAUUGCACAAUGGGCGCAAGCCUGAUGCAGCCAUGCCGCGUGUAUGAAGAAGGCCUUCGGGUUGUAAAGUACUUUCAGCGGGGAGGAAGGGAGUAAAGUUAAUACCUUUGCUCAUUGACGUUACCCGCAGAAGAAGCACCGGCUAACUCCGUG